rnacentral:rRNA from 1 species
CCUACGGGAGGCAGCAGUGAGGAAUAUUGGUCAAUGGACGAGAGCCUGAACCAGCCAAGUCGCGUGAAGGAUGACUGCCCUAUGGGUUGUAAACCUCUUUUAUAAAGGAAUAAAACGAGGCACGUGUGCCUUUUUGCAUGUACUUUAUGAAUAAGGAUCGGCUAACUCCGUGCCAGCAGCCGCGGUAAUACGGAGGAUCCGAGCGUUAUCCGGAUUUAUUGGGUUUAAAGGGUGCGUAGAUGGGUUGUUAAGUCAGGUGUGAAAGUUUGAGGCUAAACCGUCAAAGUGCAGUUGAUACUGGCAGUCUUGAGUACAGUAGAGGUAGGCGGAAUGCGUGGUGGAGCGGUGAAAUGCAUAGAGAUCACGAAGAACCCCGAUUGCGAAGGCAGCUUACUAGCCUGUGACUGACGUUGAUGCACGAAAGUGUGGGUAUCAAACAGGAUUAGAUACCCGAGUAGUC